AAGCGGCAACAGCUCAAAUUUGAAAUCUGGCUUCAGCCCGAGUUGUAAUUUGUAGAGGAUGCUUUUGGCGAGGUGCCUUCUGAGUUCCCUGGAACGGGACGCCAUAGAGGGUGAGAGCCCCGUAUAGUCGGACACCUAGCCUCUGUAAAGCUCCUUCGACGAGUCGAGUAGUUUGGGAAUGCUGCUCAAAAUGGGAGGUAUAUCUCUUCUAAAGCUAAAUAUAGGCCAGAGACCGAUAGCGCACAAGUAGAGUGAUCGAAAGAUGAAAAGCACUUUGAAAAGAGGGUUAAAUAGCACGUGAAAUUGUUGAAAGGGAAGCGCUUGUGACCAGACUUGUGCCGGGCUGAUCAUCCAGUGUUCUCACUGGUGCACUCGACCCGGCUCAGGCCAGCGUCGGUUGUCGCGGGGGGAUAAAAGCUUCGGGAACGUGGCUCCUCCGGGAGUGUUAUAGCCCGUUGCUUAAUACCCCCGCGG
rnacentral:rRNA from 1 species